UUAGCCAGGCACGGUGGCAGGUGCCUGUAAUCCCAGCUACUCAGGAGGCUGAGGCAGGAGAAUCGCUGGUACCAGGGAGGCAGAGGUUGCAGUGAGCCUAGAUUGUGCCACGCACUCUAGCCUGGGGGCGACAGAGCAAGACUCCGUCUCAAAAAAAAAAAAAAAAAAGUAAAACAAAAACUCUUGCAGUCAGGUUUUAUGCCAGUGAAGUUUGGUAGUUAUUAAUCUUGAGCUCAGACUAAACCUGGCAUUACCACUAAUCAUGUAAGUUUGAGGAAGUCUUUUCACACCUAUGGGGUUUUAUCUUUUGUACAUUGAAGUUAUGGACUACGGUUCUGUGGAACAUGAAUAAGCCAAGAGUGGGAGGUUCCACUUUGAUAAUGGUAUACUAGAUGCCUGAGACCGAUACUCUCACUAGAAAUUUUAAAAUCUGGGAAAAAUACAUAAAAAAUGGAAAAAGCAUCAAAGAGUGAGUAAGACUGACUGGAACCCAGAGGGGAAAGAAACUCUAAAGACUGGCUGCCUUUGACCUGGAGGCCAGUUAGGAAAAGGUUGCUGAGAGGCUGAGCUGUGGUUUUUUUUGUUUUGUUUUUGUUUUUUUUUUUUUGGUUUUUUUUUUCAAGAUGGAGUUUCACUCUUGUCACCCAGGCUAGAGUGCAGUGAUGCAAUCUCGGCUCACUGCAACCUCCCCAUUCCAGGUUCAAGUGAUUCUUCUGCCUCAGCCUCCUGAGUAGCUGGGAUUGCAGGUGCCCGCCAUGACACCCAGCGGAAGGAUUACACUCUGCUCUUCUGGCUUCUGCCCAGAGCUUUCCUUGGAGCCCCGUGGAGAUCUGGACCAUCACCCAUUAGUGAAGCUCACAGCUGAGUCAGUCUCACCCGGGCUCCUCCUUGCUCCAGAGUCGGAUGCCUUGUUUUCCUCCACUGACUUCUGCUUCCUGUGGCAGCAGCUACAUAAGUAUUGGCAAAAACAUGGACAGACAACUUGGUUUCAUUGGUGGAUAAGCUCAAGCCACUUUCCAAGAUGCUCAGGUGCUCCUUGUGCCUCACUUGGCGGAUUCUUGAGUACGGGCAUUGCCUCUGUCCUGUCCUAGGUGAUUGCAAAGAGGUAGGGGGCCCCUCUCUCUGGUCCUCCUCCUCUUCCUCAUCCUCCUUGUCCUCCUUGUCUUCCUCUUUCACCUCAUUUUUCCUCAUCUGGAGAAUGCAAACCUUGUUCUGCUUCCGCCUCUUCGUCUGAACAAGGCUGGGAUCUUCUUCCUUGGGGGAAUCCAAGAGCAAGGAAUGAAGCAUGCUCUCCACCGACCCAUCCUGUUACAUAUGGGACUUCGCCUCUGUCGUUGGCGGAGAGGCGAAGUGCCGCAGAGAAGCAUGGAGAUCACAGAGCAAACCUAAACCAAGCGCCCAUCUCUCUGUGAGAACUGAGCAGACAGCAGAGGUUAAAAAACACUGUCCUGGCCCGGAAGACACGUUCACUUAAAAUACUAAAGACAAGCUACAAAGCAGUAUCUGCAAAGGAUACACAGGCAUAUCCUGAAUGCAUUAAACGUUCAUUCUUUUUUUUUUUUUUUUUCUGAGACGGAGUUUCACUCUUGUUGCCCAGGCUGGAGUGCGGUGGUGUGAUCUCUGCUUACUGCAACCUCCACCUCCUGGGUUCAAGUGAUUCUCCUGCCUCGCCCUCCCAAGUAGCUGGGAUUACAGGCGUGAGCCAUCGCGCCCGGCCAAAUGCUCAUUCUUUUCAAAGGGUUGUAAUGCAAAUAUUUAGGUUAAAUAAAGACUCAUUUUGGCCGGGCGCGGUGGCUCACGCCUGUAAUCCCAGCACUUUGGGAGGCCAAGGCAAGGAGAUCACGAGGUCAGGAGUUCAAGACCAGCCUGCCCAAUAUGGUGAAACCCCCAUCUCUACUAAAAAUACAAAAACUAGCCAGGCGUGGUGGCACGUGCCUGUAAUCCCAGCUAUUCAGUAGACUGAGGCAGGAGAGUCGCUGGGCGGCAGAGCAAGACUCCAGCUCAAAAAAAAAACUCAUUUUGGAAGGCAAAUAAUCACCCAUUAAUUUAUCUGCUCUAGAAAUCCUGCUUGUUCAUAUUUGAACAAUCCUGCUUGUUCAUAUUUGAUGGAUACGUUUAUUAUCUUCAUUGUGGUGAUGAUUUCAUGAGUAUAUAUAUAUAUGUCAAAACUUAUCAAAUUGUACACUUUAAAUAUGUACAGUUUAUUGUGUGUCAGAGCUCAAAAGCAAAAAACAGCUAGCAUUUAAACCCUCCCUCAAACAGACAAUUAAGAAGUUCCUCCAUCCUGGCUAACACUGCGAAACCCCGUCUCUACUAAAAAUACAAAACAAAAAAAUUAGCCAGGCCUGGUGGCAUGCGCUGGUAGUCCCAGCUACUUGGGAGGCUGAGGCAGGAGAAUUGCUUGAACCCGGGAGGCGGAGGUUGCAGUGAGCUGAGAUCGUGCCACUGCACACCAACCUGGGUGACAGAGCGAGACUCCAUCUCAAAAAAAAAAAAAAAAAAAGAAGAAGUUCCUAUACCAAGUGCGUUUAAGAGCAUAUGAGUAUUGAAAGGAUAUUAGGAAGGACUAAUAAGAAUCGAGUGGCUAACUGGGAGGUGGUUCUUUUGUGUGUGAACUCUUGAGCCAAACUGAGCUCAAACUCUAGCAUCUUUGCUUUCUACUUAUGCGGUCUUGGGAGAGUUAUUCAACCUGCCUGUGCCUGAGUUUGUUCAUCUGAAAAAUGGGGAAAAUAGUAGCACCUGCCUUAUAGGAUUGUUAUGAUAGUUAAAUGAGAUGUAAAUUCUUACAAAAUACCAUGUGGUAAGUACUCAAUAAAUGUUAGCUAUGAUUACUAUUAUUGUUGAUAUUACUAUUAUUAUUGGUGGUGGAAUUUUUUUUUCUGAAAGUGGUAAUUCUGUUUUGUUUUGAGGCAGGAUCUCCCUCUGUCACCCAGGUUGGAGUGCAGUGGGGCAUUCACAGCUCACUGAAGCCUCAACCUCCCAGGCCCAAGCAAUCCAUCCAACUCAGCCUCCAAAAGUGCUGGGAUUACAGGCGUGAGCCACCGAGUCCAGCCUCAAAGCAAAUUUGAGCCAUGUUUUAGUAAAGAUACGAAUCAAAAGCAUGUAGAGAAUGCACGGGAGGUUGCCACAGUAUUUCUUAGUGAGCUAAAGUGCUCAAAUGAUGGUAGAACAGGGGUGCAAGACCUGAGGGGUGGGAGGGAUGCAGGGUGGGGCACUUACACUGGUCAGCUCCUGACUCCCUUGGUAGCCCAAGUCAUCAAUGAAGCUGUUGAUGGAUGUCAAGGAUACAGCAAAUUUGUUAAAGGAGGGAUUUUCUUCCCCUGAAGCCCCCCAAGCUUCUUUGAUCUCCUAAGGGAGAGGUGGAGAGUCCAAUUAAGAGUGGAACAGCCCAUAGCUGGGUGUGGUGGUGUGCGCCUGUAAUCUUAGCUACUCAGGAGGAGUUAGAAUCAAUCAAACCCAGGAGGUGGAAGUUGCAGUGAACCAAGAUCACGCCACUGCACUCCA
rnacentral:lncRNA from 1 species